rnacentral:rRNA from 1 species
CUAUGCGCCUUGCCAGCCCGCUCAGUCAGAGUUUGAUCCUGGCUCAGAGCGAACGCUGGCGGCAGGCUUAACACAUGCAAGUCGAACGGACCCUUCGGGGUUAGUGGCGGACGGGUGAGUAACACGUGGGAACGUGCCUUUAGGUUCGGAACAACACAGGGAAACUUGUGCUAAUACCGGAUGUGCCCUUCGGGGGAAAGAUUUAUCGCCUUUAGAGCGGCCCGCGUCUGAUUAGCUAGUUGGUGGGGUAAAGGCCUACCAAGGCGACGAUCAGUAGCUGGUCUGAGAGGAUGGCCAGCCACAUUGGGACUGAGACACGGCCCAA